rnacentral:tRNA from 1 species
UCAAAGUAUAACUAAAAAGAUUAGUAUUUCAUUUACAUUGAAGUGAGUUAUCGUGCAAAUCGAUUUACUUUGAA